UAUAACGGCCAUACCACCUUAGGCACGCCCGAUCUCGUCUGAUCUCGGAAGCUAAGCAGGGUCGGGCCUGGUUAGUACUUGAAUGGGUGACCGCCUUGGAAUACCAGGAGCUUUAAGCA
ensembl:rRNA 5S_rRNA 5S ribosomal RNA